rnacentral:rRNA from 1 species
GACGGGUGAGUAAUGUCUGGGAAACUGCCUGAUGGAGGGGGAGUAACUACUGGAAACGGUAGCUAAUACCGCAUAACGUCGCAAGACCAAAGAGGGGGACCGUUCGGGCCUCUUGCCAUCAGAUGUGCCCAGAUGGGAUUAGCUAGUAGGUGGGGUAACGGCUCACCUAGGCGACGAUCCCUAGCUGGUCUGAGAGGAUGACCAGCCACACUGGAACUGAGACACGGUCCAGACUCCUACGGGAGGCAGCAUG